UGGGGGAUAUCGCACAAUGGGCGAAAGCCUGAUGCAGCGACGCCGCGUGGGGGAUGAAGGCUUUCGGGUUGUAAACCUCUUUCGCUAUCGAACAAGGCCCGCUUAGGGUGGGUUGAGGGUAGGUGGAGAAGAAGCGCCGGCUAACUACGUGCCAGCAGCCGCGGUAAUAUGUAGGGCGCGAGCGUUGUCUGGAAUUAUUGGGCGUAAAGGGCUUGUAGGCGGCUUGUUGCGCCUGCUGUGAAAACGCGGGGCUUAACUUCGCGCGUGCAGUGGGUACGGGCAGGCUUGAGUGUGGUAGGGGUGACUGGAAUUCCAGGUGUAGCGGUGGAAUGCGCAGAUAUCUGGAGGAACACCGAUGGCGAAGGCAGGUCACUGGGCCAUUACUGACGCUGAGGAGCGAAAGCAUGGGUAGCGAACAGG
rnacentral:rRNA from 1 species